AUGUCCUCUGAUUCUUCUGACGCAGGAAGGGCAAAGCCGUCUGCUCCUACCGCCGCGAUUCGUCACCCUCCCUUUCAGUAUUGCGUUAAAAUGGACCACGGGCAAGCAUUUCUCUUACUGGGGAUCACGGCCUGGUUUACCUGCGCGACGUCGGUGACCGUCCGCCAGACUCCCGCCGCGUUUUCCGCACUGGCCGGCGAUGGAAUGGAGUUGCAUUGUACGGCGGAAGGAGGGGGUGAUACUGAUCGUAUGUACUGGUACAGACAGUACCCGGGGAACGGACCUCAUUACCUGCUUUACUCACAGAACAACAUGCAUCUGGAACCGGAGGAGACGGCGGACGGGUUAACAGCCAAGAGGCAGGACAACCAGUUCAAGCUGAUUUCUAAAAGUUUGACUGCGAAUCACUCGGCUCGUUAUUUCUGCGCCUGGAGUUUACACAGCCGCCCGACCGGAUGGUGA